CAACUGUUGAUGAAGAUUAUCAGAGGUCGGCUCUAUCUGAAGACCCAAUGCUGAGAAGAGCAAUUCGUCCGUCAUCUGGUUAUUUAGAAAUGAAAAAAAUAGUAUAAAAAUACGUAUGAAUUCAAAUUCGUCACUUUGAAAAGCUUUUUUCGUCGAACGGAAUCACGUAAUUAUUGAUAGAAAUUUUUACCAAUGAAAGUUGGUCGAAUGUAUUUUGAAAUUCGUAAAAUAAGAAACUAAA